GACCUGCCCGGGGCCAGGCUGGGCCCUGUGAGGCCGUGUGGCCUCGGGCCUGCCUGCGCUUUGUGUGCUUACCCGUGGAUCCCACAGUUAGCGCUUACCCACUAACUGGCUGCUGUGGCUGUUUCUUCCCUUCUUUCACGUGAGAAUUACUGAGCUUGGUCACUUUUGUGGUGGUUUUCCUGCUGGGCGAAACUAAAAUGAACCCAGAGGAGAACUGGUGAGAUCGCGUCCUCUCCGGACCCCGAUCGACAGAGGGAGAGAGUCAGACCCACAGAGCACCUGCCCGGCCGCUGAGUUCAGACUCAGGAUCCAUUUUCCACCUGGGACUUCGCUGGGGGAAAUGGGAAGGUUCUGGCGCGCUGGUGGUUUCCGAGAACUCUGGCAGCUUUGAAGGCUCAGCGUGUGAUGGCAAUUUGUCUUUCUGCUGGCUCCCCAUUUGCCUGUCUGAUAACAGAGCUCCUCACUGUGACGUGGAGUGAGAGGCUGGGACUGGCUUCCAGACGCUCCAGCCUCGUGGGUGCUGCCGUCUUCAGAGCUCUGUGAACUGGAACAAUAGGUCACGCUUGCUGUAAUUAUUUUCUCGUCUAUAUCUCGCUCCCUUUCCCUAAAGAAACCAUUCGCUGGUUUAGUUUGGGAAAGGCAUUAUGUUUAAUCAUCAUUUGCCUGGAGUUAAAAAAAAAAAAAAGCUAUACACAUUGAGCAUUAAAGUAACAGCUGACUUUAAGGUCAGUUAAAGUUUCUGAACUGUAGCUGUUUCACACAGAGCGGUUAUGUUGUCUGAUCU
ensembl:lncRNA